GACGAACGCUGGCGGCGUGCUUAACACAUGCAAGUCGAACGGUGAAGCUCCAGCUUGCUGGAGUGGAUCAGUGGCGAACGGGUGAGUAACACGUGAGCAACCUGCCCCAGACUCUGGAAUAAGCGCUGGAAACGGCGUCUAAUACUGGAUACGAGAUCAAGCCGCAAGGUUAUGGACUGGAAAGUUCUGCGGUUUGGGAUGGGCUCGCGGCCUCUCCGCUUGUUUGUGAGGUUAUGGCUCACCAAGGCGACGACGGGUAGCCGGCCUGAGAGGGCGACCGGCCACACUGGGACUGAGACACGGCCCAGACUCCUACGGGAGGCAGCAGUGGGGAAUAUUGCACAAUGGGCGAAAGCCUGAUGCAGCGACGCCGCGUGAGGGAUGACGGCCUUCGGGUUGUAAACCUCUUUCAGCAGGGAAGAAGCGAAAGUGACGGUACCUGCAGAAGAAGCACCGGCUAACUACGUG
rnacentral:rRNA from 1 species